UACAGAGACUGCAAGCGUUAUUCGGAUUUACUGGGCGUAAAGAGUGUAAAGGUGGUAAUGUGUGUUUGAGGUGAAAUUUUGCCGCUCAACGGCAAAUCUGCCUUAAAAACUACAUAACUAGAGUGUUUUCGGGGACAGCGGAAUUCACGGUGUAGCAGUGAAAUGCGUAGAUAUCGUGAGGAACACCAGUGGCGAAGGCGGCUGUCUAGGGAACUACUGACACUACAACACGAAAGCGUGGGGAUCAAAAGGG
rnacentral:rRNA from 1 species